rnacentral:rRNA from 1 species
AUACUAACCAGUGACCGAUAGUGAACCAGUACCGUGAGGGAAAGGUGAAAAGAACCCCGGGAGGGGAGUGAAAGAGAACCUGAAACCGUGUGCCUACAAGUAGUCAGAGCCCGUUAACGGGUAAUGGCGUGCCUUUUGUAGAAUGAACCGGCGAGUUGCGUUAGUCAGCAAGGUUAAGUCAGAAAAGACGGAGCCGUAGCGAAAGCGAGUCUGAAGAGGGCGAGCAGUUGGCUGACGCAGACCCGAAACCAAGUGACCUACCCAUGACCAGGUUGAAGGCGCGGUAAAACGCGCUGGAGGACCGAACCCACGUAAGUUGAAAAUUGCGGGGAUGAGUUGUGGGUAGCGGUGAAAUUCCAAACGAACUUGGAGAUAGCUGGUUCUCUCCGAAAUAGCUUUAGGGCUAGCCUCGCAAAGAGGAUGCUGGAGGUAGAGCUCUGUUUGGACUAGGGGCCCGUCAAGGGUUACUGAAUUCAGAUAAACUGCGAAUUCCAGACAUUUAUGUGCGGGAGUCAGACUGCGAGUGAUAAGAUCCGUAGUCGAAAGGGAAACAGCCCAGAUCACCAGUUAAGGUCCCAAAAUUCAUGCUAAGUGGAAAAGGAUGUGGAGUUGCGCAGACAACUAGGACGUUGGCUCAGAAGCAGCCAUCAUUCAAAGAGUGCGUAAUAGCUCACUAGUCGAGUGACGCCGCGCCGAAAAUUUACCGGGGCUAAGCAUGAUACCGAAACUGUGGAUGUGCACUUAUGCACGUGGUAGGAGAGCGUUCUAGCGGCGGUGAAGCAUGACCGAGAGGACAUGUGGAGCUUCUAGAAGUGAGAAUGCCGGUAUGAGUAACGAAAGACAGGUGAGAAUCCUGUCCGCCGCAAGAC